GCGCGUCCUAAUACAUGCAAGUCGAAGCGGACAGAAGGGAGCUUGCUCCCGGAUGUUAGCGGCGGACGGGUGAGUAACACGUGGGUAACCUGCCUGUAAGACUGGGAUAACUCCGGGAAACCGGAGCUAAUACCGGAUAGUUCCUUGAACCGCAUGGUUCAAGGAUGAAAGACGGUUUCGGCUGUCACUUACAGAUGGACCCGCGGCGCAUUAGCUAGUUGGUGAGGUAACGGCUCACCAAGGCGACGAUGCGUAGCCGACCUGAGAGGGUGAUCGGCCACACUGGGACUGAGACACGGCCCAGACUCCUACGGGAGGCAGCAGUAGGGAAUCUUCCGCAAUGGACGAAAGUCUGACGGAGCAACGCCGCGUGAGUGAUGAAGGUUUUCGGAUCGUAAAGCUCUGUUGUUAGGGAAGAACAAGUGCAAGAGUAACUGCUUGCACCUUGACGGUACCUAACCAGAAAGCCACGGCUAACUACGUGCCAGCAGCCGCGGUAAUACGUAGGUGGCAAGCGUUGUCCGGAAUUAUUGGGCGUAAAGGGCUCGCAGGCGGUUUCUUAAGUCUGAUGUGAAAGCCCCCGGCUCAACCGGGGAGGGUCAUUGGAAACUGGGAAACUUGAGUGCAGAAGAGGAGAGUGGAAUUCCACGUGUAGCGGUGAAAUGCGUAGAGAUGUGGAGGAACACCAGUGGCGAAGGCGACUCUCUGGUCUGUAACUGACGCUGAGGAGCGAA
rnacentral:rRNA from 1 species